UCUCCUGGAAACGGGUGGUAAUGCCGGAUGUUCCACAUGAUCGCAUGUGAUUGUGGGAAAGAUUCUAUCGGCGUGGGAUGGGGUCGCGUCCUAUCAGCUUGUUGGUGAGGUAACGGCUCACCAAGGCUUCGACGGGUAGCCGGCCUGAGAGGGCGACCGGCCACAUUGGGACUGAGAUACGGCCCAGACUCCUACGGGAGGCAGCAGUGGGGAAUAUUGCACAAUGGGCGCAAGCCUGAUGCAGCGACGCCGCGUGAGGGAUGGAGGCCUUCGGGUUGUAAACCUCUUUUGUUUGGGAGCAAGCCUUCGGGUGAGUGUACCUUUCGAAUAAGCGCCGGCUAACUACGUGCCAGCAGCCGCGGUAAUACGUAGGGCGCAAGCGUUAUCCGGAUUUAUUGGGCGUAAAGGGCUCGUAGGCGGCUCGUCGCGUCCGGUGUGAAAGUCCAUCGCUUAACGGUGGAUCUGCGCCGGGUACGGGCGGGCUGGAGUGCGGUAGGGGAGACUGGAAUUCCCGGUGUAACGGUGGAAUGUGUAGAUAUC
rnacentral:rRNA from 1 species